CCACCACGAAGGAAGAUUAGAUUGUGAUGAUGAUGAUGAUGAUGAUGUCCAGAUAACAGCUUGGAAAGAAAGUGACUUGAUGCUGGAGAGUCUAAGUGAUGAGGAGACUCAUCCAGUUUGUCCUGAGGAUGGGCUGUUUUUGUGAGGUUCAC